UCAUAUUUUCUUUAAACAUAUUUAUUUGCUCUUUAUAUGCUUACAAAUAAUUUAUUUAAAAAAAUUAUAUACUAAUUUACUAAACCGUUUUAUUUCAAUCAAUUAUUUGACUAACUUUUAUAUUUUUCAAAGAAUUUUUAUAGUAUAUUAUACUGCGCUAUUGUUUUUUUUUGUAUGGUGAAAACUAUGUUUAAUGUGCAAACUAUAUUUUAGUUUAUCAAAAUAUAUUUUUAUUGAUGUGUUCUGUCUCUGAUUCUUUCUUUUUCAGAUGUGCACUUGUGUCUUAGGCUUAUGGUUUGCAAAAGGUUCAUCAUUGCCCUUAAGUUGCUGUGGGUUUUACGGUUUUACUUCUAACCUGGCAUAUAAAUGCACUUAGUAUCUGAAGUUAUUUGUCAAUAACUGGUGAUCAGACUAUUAAACGAACACGUUUUUAAGGGCUGAGAAGGUGAAAGUUAGAAGUCUGCAGACUGCAACGUAAAUCAAUUUUCAUCACAUGGUUUCCUGAAUAUAUUUAGUUUUUGAUUGAAAUGAGAAUAAACUGAACUUAUAGAUAUGUUGAAAAUUAACUAUUUUAUAUUUUAAACGUUCGCUAAUCGCAAGUGAAGCAAUAAUCUAUAGAU